AGCAUAGGAGGGUGGUCGUAGAUCAAGAAGCAAGUCUGACACUCAUAUUGGAAGGGACUGAAUUCCGCAACUUAUUAGGAGUAGGGACUUACGGUCCAUGCAUUAAAGCGCUUUUUUUUUGUUUGAAAAAGUGAUUGUUUUAACACCGAUUUGAUAAGAUUACAAAAUGAUUCUCUUUCUUGUAUGCUCCCAUCUGAUCUACGAGGAGUUGACUCUAUCUCCACUAUCCUUUGCCGCCAUCACUAAGAUUGACUUCACAAGUAUGCUUGUACCUUUUGACGAUGCCAUCCACGACCAGUGCUCCGAAGUUCGGGAGCAUUAUAUUACUAAUUUGCUAGGUUUCUUGUCAGCGUGCAAGAACACUCGGUGCUUGGCUUACUAGAGAAUUCCCUUCCAUUAUAUGGGCUUGUGCCUCAGAAUGCUCAUGAGGUUUGGGCCUUAGAUAUUGGCCUUCUGGUGGGCUCUCAUCCUAUUAGCAUGUCUUGAGCUUUCCCGCAUUUGAGCUACUGGGGCUUAAGCAAGAGCAUCCAUCUAGAGUGGGCACAGGUCCAUGUGCAUCGCAUGUGGAUCAACUCCUUGACUUGGAAUAAGAUUUAUAGCGACUAGCUUAGUGAGUGCCGUCACUGGGAUCCCUAUAUAUGGACCUUAAUCACAGGAGGCUCCUCUUGGCUGGCCCUACUUGUCGGGUCUGGUUCUUAGGCAAAAGGAUCUACAACUAGGAGAGGGGGCCUAGUAGACACCGGGUUCCUUUAUCUUCCCCGCUCUCUAUGUUUUGGACGGUGGACCUUGUCGGCGAGGAGCUAGCAAGGAGUCUGGAGGGAUAAUGAUGAAUUUGAGGAUCUCACCAUUUGGUCUCGGAAGAUGGACUACACCUCCUUCAUCCCUCAGCUACUAGGGCCCGUGCCCUUAAUAAUGAUACUAUGGCUUAGGUUUGUUCUUGACUUUAUCAAGUUUUCACUUUCUUUUUUUCUCUUUACUUGGUUACCCAUUUAGCUGCUUUACUAUAGUUCAUUUGUUGUGCGCCUCUGGCUCUUAGGCCGAUAGAGGAGCGGUUUGGUUGCUGUUCCAAGCCCUCCCAUAUCUUAAGCUCCUCUAUGGGUGCUACAUUUGAGGCACCUCCUACGAUGAUUUUAGACAUGGUGCCUGGGACCGUCCCGUUUCUUUCAGACCCGAUGAUAUCCUACUAGAGUCCUGCUGGAACCAUAGAGCAUAAGCUUACUCCGAACACUUGUAGACACGUUAUUCUUUUUGGUACUUUAUCUCUUUUUUUUUCUUGAAGUGUUAGCAAUAUACAUAAUCAUAUAGGUUGAGAGAGAUCAGUUCGAGCACAUACAUAGACUAGUCGGUGCCAUGAGGAGAUCUUCAUCCUUGGCAAGGACUAACGGGUAAGGAAAUUGUCACACCUCAUCUCGCGUAGCCCAAGAUGGAUAUUUAAAACAAAACGCUCACUAACGUCCUUUUAGUUUAGUUGAA